rnacentral:rRNA from 1 species
GAUGAACGCUGGCGGCGUGCCUAAUACAUGCAAGUCGAGCGAACGGACGAGAAGCUUGCUUCUCUGAUGUUAGCGGCGGACGGGUGAGUAACACGUGGAUAACCUACCUAUAAGACUUGGAUAACUUCGGGAAACCGGAGCUAAUACCGGAUAAUAUUUUGAACCGCAUGGUUCAAAAGUGAAAGACGGUCUUGCUGUCACUUAUAGAUGGAUCCGCGCUGCAUUAGCUAGUUGGUAAGGUAACGGCUUACCAAGGCAACGAUGCAUAGCCGACGUGAGAGGGGGAUCGGCGCCACUGGAACUGACACACGGUCCAGACUCUUACGGGAGGCAGAAGUAGGGAAUCGUCGGCAAUGGGCGAAAGCCUGACGGAGCAACGCCGCGUUAGUGAUGAAGGUCUUCGGAUCGUAAAACUCUGUUAUUAGGGAAGAACAUAUGUGUAAGUAACUGUGCACAGCGUGACGGUACCGAAUCAGAAAGCCACGGCUAACUACGUG